UUGGUGGAGAAUUUUGAUAGCUGCUACCUCACUAUCCUUUACUCUGGUUGAUUGCGCAUGGCCGGUACUGGAAUCCACCCGUACCACCACCAAUGGUCUCCGGCGGCUGCCCCUCCUCCUCCGCCACAAGCCACUGCCAUCGCUCCUCCUCCUAUUCCCUAUCCCCAUCCUUCUCACAUCCUCGUCGACAACCCCGCCCGUCAUGCCUCCGAUGAGGUUCGGACUAUAUUUCUAACAGGUCUUCCGGAAGAUGUGAAAGAGAGAGAGCUACAGAAUCUUCUCAGAUGGUUACCUGGUUACGAGGCUUCGCAAGUAAAUUUUAAAGGUGAAAAGCCUAUGGGCUUUGCUCUCUUUUCCAACGCUCAGCUUGCUAUUGCUGCGAAAGACGCCCUUCAGGAUAUGGUUUUUGAUGCGGAGUCUAAGUCAGUGUUGCACACGGAGAUGGCCAAGAAAAAUCUUUUUGUUAAACGAGGCAUUGUUGCUGAUGCAGAUGCUUAUGACCAAAGUAAACGUUUGAGAACUGGUGGUGAAUAUGCCCACACCGGGUAUUCGAGCCCAUCACCAUUUCAUGCACCUCCACCCCCUAUUUGGGGACCUCACGGGUAUAUGGCUCCACCUCCUCCUCCAUAUGAUCCAUAUGGAAGUUACCCUGUUCAUCCUGUACCUAUGCCUGCUCCUGCACCUGUACCAGCACCUUGCAGCUAUGUGCCUGUUCAGAACACAAAAGAUAAUCCUCCUUGCAAUACACUGUUCAUUGGUAAUCUGGGGGAAAAUGUAAAUGAAGAGGAGCUCAGAGGUCUUUUUAGCGUACAACCGGGAUUUAAGCAAAUGAAGACUCUGAGGCAGGAAAGGCAUAAAGUCUGUUUCAUUGAAUUUGAAGAUGUGAACACUGCCUCCAAUGUGCAUCAUCUUCUGCAGGGUGCUGUUAUUCCUAGUUCUGGCUCUGUGGGCAUGAGAAUACAAUUUUCGAAGAACCCGUUUGGUAAACGGAAAGAUGCUACCUAUCCUGUUUCUGCUCCUGGCGCCAAUGGAAGUCCACAUGCUAUGGCAUACCAAUAGCGUGAAGGGGAUGUACUCUGUUCUUUUUGCUCCGACAAAUUCAAGCACUAGAUGAUAGGAUGCAUCUUGCAGCAGUUGCAUGCAUCCAUGAUCCAUUUCAUAUCAAGUCAUCAGCAUUUUCAUCUCCAUGGGAAUGAUUGCUCAUAUUGGUGUCACAAGCAUUCCAUUUGGAAGCAUGUUACUAAUGUAGUCCCUAUUUGUGACAUGCAUUUAUCAGAACUUAGAAGAUUUAAGUAGCUGGAUUAUUUGUGGGGUGUGUGCUGUGCAUUGGUCCUAUCCUGUUUUUUUUUUUUUGGUUGUGUAUGAGUAUGUAGCUAUUUAUCUAAAUGGAUUUCUUGAUUUAUUAAGAGCAUCCACAUGUAAGGUUCAGUCAUUUCAUCUCACCUUUCGCAAUUUCAAGUCGGUAGGGGUUCCAUAUCAAGGUGCAACUCUGGUAGGAAUGUAGGGCACGUAGGCCACCAGACAACGCAUCAUGCCAUUAUUAGCUUAAUCACUUAAUCAUUUACUUGAUCAUCACGACCACAUCAUUAGCUUAAUCAUUUACUUCAUCCACCAAUUAAUUCAUGAUGAAGUGUUCACAUUCAAGCAACUAAGGCCUUUGUUUCUUAAGCAUCAAAGAAUAUAGUUUCAUUUACAUACAGAUUCCGACUUGAAUUGACCAGGCUGCUAUGCGUUUGAGGUUCAAUUUCAGGUGCUAUCUGAAGCUCUUUUUUCUAGGCUUCUGACUGUGCAAGACCCCUCAUGGAGAUGACGCAGAUUUAUAGAGCCAACUGGACCAUGAUUCAAACAACCAUUUCGAUCCACUGCUCUGCUCAUCAUUGUCGAGUUUGCUGGAUGCAUACCUGGCUUGGCUGCAAAACCGGAGGAAAUUGAUGCCUUGGAAGAAAGGUUCCGAGAUAAGUAUCUGCCUUGGGCAGCAAAGCAAAUCACAAAUUUCAUAUCCAAGUAGAACUGCACAAAUUACAAACAAUUAAGUACUGAUGCUCUCACCCAUAGGCGAAGAGGUUUCAUCAAAUCACAAUGUAAUAUGACUAUGUAGCAACAAUGACGCCCACCUGUUGAAGACCAAGAGGUCCUAGUGGUCUUGGCCCUUCCUCAAUAUCAUCCCAAAAACUUUGGUCCCCCGAAAGCCACAACACGACGGUUUCUGUGAGCCUCAUCAAUAGUAAUGUACCAAAUCUUUCCCUACCGACGAACGUAUCAGCUGCCAUACUUGCCAUUCUGCUAAGCUUUACAAACAGUCCCUGAAUUGUGAUCAAACAACAGGGUUAGGCUUCCUAUGGAACAAUCAAGCAAUGUUCCUUUCUAA